CAGGACUGGCUGGCUCAUAUUGCCAUUCUGUAGACAAUGCCUCAGCAGAAAUAAUGUACAUUUUAGGGUUUUGAUGGACCCAUUAAUUGCAGUCAUUCUGCUAUUGCUGGGG